AGGCCACAUGCUUCUUUAUAUCCCCAUACGGAUUACUUUGCUAUGGAAUGUAAGGAAGUGUGUGGUUU
ensembl:miRNA MIR206 microRNA 206